UAUGGCCGCCAGAACGCCCUGAACAUACUGACCUUAUUUGAUUCUAUUGGCUAAGCAGGUCACACCUGGUUAAUACUUGGAUAGGACACCACCAGGGGAUCCUGGGUGCUGUAGUGG
rnacentral:rRNA from 1 species